CCGGCGUCACAGACGGUCUUUACAAGCGACUCGUGGGCGUCAAUACUGGGCUGAGUUUGUGGCGCGCUUAGUGAUGGGAUGGCCCUGUGCAGGACGCCGACACGAAAAGAUGAAGAGUUCAAUCCGUGCUGUCUGAACUCACAGUGUAGCAGGCGAGAUAGACGGGAAGAUCGGUAGGGUGGGAGAUGCCGGAAAGGCUUCCCGUGAGACUGGAUAAGAAAUCAAAAAUCUGGUGAAAUUGCCGGCAAGAGGGAGUUAAGGACAUUCCAGGCAGAGGCAAGUUGGUCCUUGCUGGCUGAUCCAGCUUCCCCGUCAGCAUAUGGUGAGCAGUUCGGUGAGAGGACCACACUUCCAAUACUGGCAGAUGAAGCCAGAUACUCCUCUAUGAAGUUAAAUGACUGGUUCAGUGUUAACACUGCUAGUGAGCGACAGAGAUGGAAUUUGAACGCACACCUGUCUGACUCCACCUCGUGUUCCUUCCACAUGGCCAGCAAGCUCUGCUGUCCCACCUCGCACUUCUGGGAGGUGGCUACUCCCUCUUUCCACCCCCUUUUCUGGAUCUUGACAAGGGAUUCUACCCUGCCCCAGCUGUCAAAGCCUGCAGCAGCUGCCAAAAAACCUCAACACAGGCAUACUUUGGACCUACAUCAUGUGUUGAUGUCACAGAUGCUGUACCAGGCAUUUGACUCCUUGAUCUAAAGCCAGGAUUCCUAGCCAACAUGGCGAAACCCUGUCUCUACUAAAAAUAACAAAAAUUAGCUGGGCAUGGUGAUAGGCACCUGUAAUCCCAGCUACUUGGGAGGCUGAGGCAGGAGAAUUACUUGAACCCAGGAAGCGAAGGCUGCAGUGAGCAGAGAUUGUGCCUCUGCACUACAGCCUGGGCUAUGGAGUAAGACUCUGUCUCAAAAAAAAAAAAAAAAAAAAAAUAGUGAGGGGGAUGCAUGCCCACACAAAGGAAUCCUGAUAGAGGAACAAUGGCUUGGUCCGUUUCCCCUCCUGUGUAGCACUGUGAUAAAGGAAAGCCUUUCAGAUUCCUAAGAUGAGGACACAGCAUCCUGGGCCACUGUCACUAAUACAAAUUUGCCUCUGGAGGGACUCUACGGAAGAUAAUUCCCCUGAAAUUUGGAGAGUUGAAUUAAGCUAGGACUGAUUCUGGCUGGAAUUUGUGGUGGCUACGUACCCUAGAGGGCCUCAAGGAAACCCACGGUUCAAGACAGCCCUGACAGAUUCUGGAGUCUAGAACAGAAAUGGAUUUGAACAUGGGCAAGGCCAACCACCCAGUUCACGGCCUGUGUACAGCAAAGAUUACGUUACAGCCUGAGAGCUAAGCCUGGAAGCUCUUUCAUCCAUCCGUUUGUCCAUCUAUCCAUCCAUCUGCUCAUCCAUCCCUCCAUCUGCUCAACAAACGUUAGAGAAUCAAUCCUUGUGUCAGAUACUGGGGCUGCCCUCAAGGAGCUUUUAUAGAGUUCAGGGUACAGCCAGGUGGGGGAGACAGAUCACUAUAAAAACCUACCACUAUAAUCCAAAGGACAAGAGCAAAAAUAGUAAAGAGGAGAGAAGACCCAAAUUUGCCUGGUGGGUCAGAGAGGGCUUUCUAGAAGAGGUAAAAAAUCUUCGGGGCUAUCACUUCACCUUGCCUGGUGGAUAAAGGGAGGACUUUCCAGAUACAGUGGACAGAAUGUGCAGAGGCAGGAGCCAUGAGUGGCAGAGGCAGGGGAGGGACUGCAGAGACAGGUUGGAGCCAAAGCACGUGGCACUGGAGCCAUAGCCAAAGGAACAAACUGUGAGACCUGGGACUUGAAUUUGGAGGUGGUGAAAAGUGACAAGGUCUUCACAGAAGAGUGAUUUUUUCAACUUAGGGAAGGCUGACCCCAGACCAAUGCUGCCAAAGUGUGGUCUGUGGGCUGUUAGCAGUUCGUGACGAUGUAAGUACAGGAAUUGAGAUUAAGCAUUUAGAACACCUACAGCACUUUGAUAGUCAUUUUACUUUUUAAAUUUUGAGCUGGCAUUUUAUAUGCCUGGUUUUUUUUUGUUUUUGUUUUUUUAUUUUUUUUGAGACAGUCUCGCUCUGUCGCCCAGGCUGGAGUGCAGUGGCGCGAUCUCUGCUCACUGCAAGCUCCGCCUCCCGGGUUCACGCCAUUCUCCUGCCUCAUCCUCCCAAGUAGCUGGGACUGCAGGCGCCUGCCGCCUCGCCCAGCUAAUUUUUUGUAUUUUUAAUAGAGACGGGGUUUCACCAUGUUAGCCAGGAUGGUCUCAAUCUCCUGAUCUCGUGAUCUGCCCGCCUUGGCCUCCCAAAAUGCUGGGAUUACAGGUGUGAGCCACCACGCCCAGCCUUAUUCUCUUUUUCUAAUAGUUGCACUUUAUCAUAUUUUACAAAUGUGUGAGUCUGCUAUGGAUUAGAAAUUAAUAAGAGAUUUUGCCACAGAUAGUUUGAGAAGCCCAGCACUGCCACUCAACAAAUGCUGGUGCAUUCAGAUGGUGAAAUAUUCUGCAGCUAUUAAAGGAGUUAAAACUGCCUCCACUUACCUGGAGGCCCAUCUGUGACACCUUUUUAGGUUAAAAGGAAAAGAAAAACUUGCUUAGGACUGAAUAUGAGCGGUUGCAAUUUGUAACAAUGAUGUAUAUAUACAUAUACAUUUUCAUGUAUUUGUAUGAACAUAAAAGUAUUGAAGGAUAUUCAUCAAACUGCUAAAAGGGUUGCUUCAGAGUAACGGACUCGGAGAAGGCAGAUUAAUUUUCUCUUAAUGGAACUCUGUAUUGUAUCACUUGUAAAAAUAAGCAUGUGUUAUCUUUAUGAUAAAAAAGUAAAAACCUAAAAAAGAAAAUUUUGAUGUGUGUUAAAAUUUUGGAUUUCUAGGCUCCACCUUUUUUGAAUGAGUCUCUCCAAGAGUGGGGCCCUCACAUGUAUAAUGAGAAAAAGCUCCCCGAUUACAGGAUGUUACCAAGCCCCGCUAGGUGUAGGAACCCUGCUUGGUACCCACCCGAGCCUCAGCAGCUCCUCCCCAUCAUGGGCAUGAUGAGGUCUCCCUGUGAGGUGUUGUGAAGACGACGGGACAGGCUGCAGUAGGCACUGAAUAAAUGAGUCCCUUCCCCUGAUGACCCUAAGGCUAUGGGAUCAUCAUCACUCCCUCCCCAAAGCCACACCUGAUUAUUCCAGCCAGCACUCGGCCUGCCCCUUUUCUGAAUGCUUUUUGAUUUUAACUUACAUUUUUCGCAUUUAAAUGUUUCAUUUAAUUUGAGAAAGAGUCUCGCUCUGUCACCCAGGCUGGAGUGCAGUGGUGCGAUCUCAGCUCACUGCAGUCUCCACCUCCUGGGUUCAAGCAAUUCUCCUGCCUCAGCCUCCCAAGUAGCUGGGAUUACAGGCGCCCACCACCACAUGUGGCUAAUUUUGUACUUUUAGUAGAGAUGGGAUUUUGCCAUGUUGGCCGGGCUGGUCUCGAACUCCUGACCUCAAGUGAUCCACCUGCCUCAGCCUCCCAAAGUGCUGGGAUUAGAGGUGUGAACCACCACAGCUGCCUUCUUUUAAUUUGUAUUUUCUAUCUCUGCGGACAAGACUUCAAAGGUGUCUAUCACAUACUUUCAGAUCUACUGAUCAUCCUCUGAAAACCAACAUCGGGGUUCACAAAAUGGAUUUAACCAAUUGGGCUCCCCAGUUCUUCUUCCAGACUCCACCCCUCCAACAGUGUCUCCAAUGACUUCCUGGCAUCACUGAACAGGUCCUUCACUUUGCCACCUCUGAGCCUUUGCUUGAGUGUUUUCUUUCCCCUGGAAUAUCCUUUCCAACCCUAUACACCGACUGAGUCAAACCUUCUGUCUUCUUUUUGAGCAUUUAUGAGCUCCUAUCAUGAGCCAUGCAUUAUGUAAGGGACCUUACAAACACAAUCAGUCUAUGUAACAAUCCUGCCAAGUAUGCUUUAUUUUGGGCAUGGGGAAACAGAGGCUCAAGAGAAGUGACCUGCCCCAGGUUUCAGUGCCAGCACACUAGUAGAGCUGGGAUUUGAACCCAGGUUUGUCUUUUGCACUGGAUUCAGCUUCCUUGCAGACCGCAGCACCUCACAUACAGCCCUUCACUGACCAGCAAUUGGAGGGAAACCACCCCUGUGGCUUAAAACCUGUGGUGCCACAGAUCAUUCCACUCAGUCAAACCCCCAAGACCGUAGAAGUGCAUUUAACACAGCAGCUCCUAGGCACAGGAUUGUCACCUCAGGGCAUAUGACUUCUAAAGUUGCAGAUUAUAAACUUGUUCUCUUUCCCUGUCCUCAG
rnacentral:tRNA from 10 species